rnacentral:rRNA from 1 species
GACGAACGCUGGCGGCGUGCCUAAUACAUGCAAGUAGAACGCUGAAGAGAGGAGCUUGCUCUUCUUGGAUGAGUUGCGAACGGGUGAGUAACGCGUAGGUAACCUGCCUGGUAGCGGGGGAUAACUAUUGGAAACGAUAGCUAAUACCGCAUAAAAUGGAUUAUCGCAUGAUAAUCCAUUGAAAGGUGCAAAUGCAUCACUACCAGAUGGACCUGCGUUGUAUUAGCUAGUUGGUGGGGUAACGGCUCACCAAGGCGACGAUACAUAGCCGACCUGAGAGGGUGAUCGGCCACACUGGGACUGAGACACGGCCCAGACUCCUACGGGAGGCAGCAGUAGGGAAUCUUCGGCAAUGGACGGAAGUCUGACCGAGCAACGCUGCGUGAGUGAAGAAGGUUUUCGGAUCGUAAAGCUCUGUUGUAAGAGAAGAACGAGUGUGAGAGUGGAAAGUUCACACUGUGACGGUAUCUUACCAGAAAGGGACGGCUAACUACGUG